CCUACGGGAGGCAGCAGUAAGGAAUAUUGGUCAAUGGAGGCAACUCUGAACCAGCCAUGCCGCGUGCAGGAAGACUGCCCUAUGGGUUGUAAACUGCUUUUAUCCGGGAAUAAACCUGCUUACGUGUAAGUAGCUGAAUGUACCGGAAGAAUAAGGAUCGGCUAACUCCGUGCCAGCGGCCGCGGUAAUACGGAGGAUCCAAGCGUUAUCCGGAUUUAUUGGGUUUAAAGGGUGCGUAGGCGGCCUGUUAAGUCAGGGGUGAAAGACGGUAGCUCAACUAUCGCAGUGCCCUUGAUACUGAUGGGCUUGAAUGGACUAGAGGUAGGCGGAAUGAGACAAGUAGCGGUGAAAUGCAUAGAUAUGUCUCAGAACACCGAUUGCGAAGGCAGCUUACUAUGGUCUUAUUGACGCUGAGGCACGAAAGCGUGGGGAUCAAACAGGAUUAGAUACCCUGGUAGUCCACGCCCUAAACGAUGAACACUCGCUGUUGGCGAUACACAGUCAGCGGCUAAGCGAAAGCGUUAAGUGUUCCACCUGGGGAGUACGCCCGCAAGGGUGAACGUUAAAGGAAUUGACGG
rnacentral:rRNA from 1 species